UGCUGAAUCGCCUUACGGCUCAGUAACACGUGGACAACCUAACCUAUGGAGGGGGAUAACCCCGGGAAACUGGGGAUAAUACCCCAUAGACUAUGGAUGCUGGAAUGCUCUGUAGUUGAAAGGUCCGCCGCCAUAGGAUGGGUCUGCGGCCGAUUAGGUUGUUGUUGGGGUAACGGCCCAACAAGCCUGUAAUCGGUACGGGUUGUGGGAGCAAGAGCCCGGAGAUGGAUUCUGAGACACGAAUCCAGGCCCUACGGGGCGCAGCAGGCGCGAAAACUUUACGAUGCGGGAAACCGUGAUAAGGGAACUCCGAGUGCCCGUAAAAUCGGGCUGUCCAUCUGUUUAAAUAACAGGUGAAGAAAGGGCCGGGCAAGACCGGUGCCAGCCGCCGCGGUAAUACCGGCGGCUCGAGUGGUGGCCACUAUUACUGGGCUUAAAGCGUUCGUAGCUGGUUUGUUAAGUCUCUGGGGAAAUCUGCCGGCUCAACCGGCAGGCGUUCCAGGGAUACUGGCAGACUAGGGACCGGGAGAGGUGAGGGGUACUCCAGGGGUAGGAGUGAAAUCCUGUAAUCCUUGGGGGACCACCUGUGGCGAAGGCGCCUCACCAGAACGGCUCCGACAGUGAGGGACGAAAGCUGGGGGAGCAAACCGGAUUAGAUACCCGGGUAGUCCCAGCCGUAAACGAUGCGCGUUAGGUGUAUCGGUGACCACGAGUCACCGAGGUGCCGAAGAGAAAUCGUGA
rnacentral:rRNA from 1 species